AUGUUCGAACGAGAUGUCGAAAGGAUGUCACGCCUAAACCGUAUGUAUUAUGGAACCAAAGCUCACUGCAUAAGUGAGUUUAUAUAUGUUCUUGCUGGAUGGGAGGGAUCAACCCAUGAUUCUUAUGUGCUCCAAGAUGCCCUAUCACGUAAAUUUUUUCUAGCGGAUGCGGGAUAUGCUGCAAGACCUGGUAUACUGCCCCCAUAUCGUGCUGUUCGAUAUCACCUAAAGGAAUAUAGGGGAGCUAGAGACGAUGAGAACCCAAGGGAGUUAUUCAACCAUCGUCAUUCCUCACUUAGAACAACUGUUGAAAGAGCAUUUGGUACCUUGAAGAAUCGAUUUAAAAUAUUUGCAAGUCAGCCAUUCUUCCCACUGAAAACACAAGUGAAAAUUGUGUUUGCUUGUUGUGUGCUCCAUAAUUGGAUUUUAGAGGAUGGUCCUGAUGAGUAUGUAUAUGAUGAUGCUACUUGGUACUCGGCCCUUCCACGGAGUAGACGACAUCGUCUGACGUUUACAAAGAGAGUCAGGCAUGGGCAUGCAAAAGGGACGAAUUAUCUCAAAAAAUGUGGGAGGAUAAAUUAG
rnacentral:rRNA from 1 species